rnacentral:rRNA from 1 species
AUUGAACGCUGGCGGCAGGCCUAACACAUGCAAGUCGAACGAGUGGCGGACGGGUGAGUAAUGUCUGUGAAACUGCCUGAUGGAGGGGGAUAACUACUGGAAACGGUGACUAAUAACGCAUACACUCGGAUCUGACCAGAUGGGAUUAGCUAGUAGGUGGGGUAAAGUCGCACCUAGGCGACAAUCCCUAGCUGGUCUGAGAGGAGAACCAGCCACACUGGAACUGAGACACGGUCCAGACUCCUACGGGAGGCAGCAGUGGGGAAGAUUGCACAAUGGGCGCAAGCCUGAUGCAGCCAUGCCGCGUGUAUGAAGAAGGCCUUCGGGUUGUAAAGUACUUUCAGCGGGGAGGCGUUACCCGCAGAAGAAGCACCGGCUAACUCCGUGCCAGCAGCCGCGGUAAUAC